AGCAGUCGCCGCGGGAAUACGUAGGGUGCGAGCGUUAAUCGGAAUUACUGGGCGUAAAGCGUGCGCAGGCGGUUCGUUAGGACAGAUGUGAAAUCCCCGGGCUUAACCUGGGAACUGCAUUUGUGACUGGCGAGCUAGAGUAUGGCAGAGGGGGGUAGAAUUCUACGUGUAGCAGUGAAAUGCGUAGAGAUGCGGAGGAAUACCGAUGGCGAAGGCAGCCCCCUGGGCCAAUACUGACGCUCAUGCACGAAAGCGUGGGGAGCAAACAGGAUUAGAUACCCGCGUAGUCCCUGUCUCUUAUAA
rnacentral:rRNA from 1 species